CAAACCCGGAAGCGGAUCGCGUGGAAUGAGGGUCCCUCCGCGGCGCGGAGGAUGUGUGUUGAUUCUGAGCAAUAAACAACAUAUUUGACAUUCAGGAUUGACUUCUAAUGACUCUUGAUACGUGAGGAAGAAACUUGGAAGAGGAAAGCAAAGGAGUCAGGAAUGGCUCUUCCUCAGGGUCCAUUGACAUUCAGGGAUGUGGCCGUAGAAUUCUCUCCGGAGGAGUGGAAAUGCCUGGACUCUGCUCAGAGGACUUUAUACAGGGACGUGAUGUUGGAGAAUUACAGGAACCUGGUCUCCCUGGACAUCUCUUCCAAAUGCAUGAUGAAAGAGUUUUCAUCCACAGGGCCAGGCAAUACAAAAGUGUUCCACACAGGGACAUUGGAAACACAUGAAAGUCAUCACAUUGAAAAUUUUUGCUUCCAGAAAAUUGAGAAAGAUAUUCAUGACUUUGAGUUUCAGUGGCAAGAAGAUGAAAGAAAUGGCCAUGAAGCACCCAUGGCAGAAACCAAAGAGCUUCCUAGUAGUACAGACCAAUAUGAUGAAAGGCAUGCUGAAAACAAGCCUAUUAAAGAUCAGCUUGGAUUAAGCUUUCAUUCACAUCUCCCUGAACUCCACAUAUUUCAGACUGAAGGGAAUAUUGGUAAUCAAGUUGAAAAAUCUGUCACCGAUGCUUCCUCUGCUUCAGCAUCCCAAAGAAUUUCUUGUAGGCCCAAAACCCAUAUUUCUAAUAACUAUGGGAUUAAUUUCCUUCAUACUUCAUUUCUCACACAAAUACAGAAAGUACACAUGAAAGAAAAAUCUUUCCAAUUUCAUGAGAGUGGCAAAACCUUUAAUUGCAGAUCACUCUUAGGGAAACAUCAGGUAAUCCAUUUAGGAGAGAAAAAAUAUGAAUGUGAUGUAUGUGGCAAGGUCUUUAAUCAGAAGCGAUACCUUGCACGCCAUUGUAGAUGUCACACUGGUGAGAAACCUUACACGUGUAAUGAGUGUGGCAGGACCUUCAGUCAGGCGUCAUACCUCACCUGCCAUCGUAGACUUCAUACUGGAGAGAAACCUUACAAGUGUAAUGAGUGUGACAAGACCUUCAGUUAUACGUCAUCACUUACAUCCCAUCGUAGACUUCACACUGGAGAAAAACCUUACAAAUGUAAUGAGUAUGACAAGACCUUCAGUUACAUGUCAUCACUUACGUCCCAUCAUAGACUUCACACUGGAGAAAAACCUUACAAGUGUAAUGAGUGUGGGAAGAACUUUGGUCAAAAUUCAGCCCUUGUAAGUCAUAAGGCAAUUCAUACUGGAGAGAAACCUUACAAGUGUGAUGAGUGUGGCAAAACCUUUGGUCGAAAUUCAUACCUUCUAUUUCAUAAGACAAUUCAUGCUGGAGCGAAACCUUACAAGUGUAAUGAAUGUGGCAAGGUUUUUAAUCGAAAAUCAAACCUUGCACUUCAUUGUAGACUUCAUACUGGAGAGAAACCUUACAAAUGUGAAGAAUGUGACAAAAUGUUCAGUAGCAAAUCACACCUUAAAAGACAUAGGAGAAUUCAUACUGGAGAGAAACCAUACAAAUGUAAGGUUUGUGACAAGGCUUUCGGGCGUGAUUCACACCUGGCACAACAUACUAGAAUUCACAGUGGAGAGAAACCUUACAAGUGUGAUGAGUGUGGCCAAGCCUUUAGGUAUCAGUCAACACUUAUUCACCAUCAAGCAAUCCAUGGUGUAGGGAAACUUUACUAACGUAAUGAUUGUCACCAAGUCUUCAGUAACGCUACCACCAUAGCAAGUCAUCGGAGAAUCUAUAAUGAAGAGAGAUCUUACAAGUGUAAUAAAUGUGGCAGAUUUUUCAGACAUUCUUCAGACCUUGCACUUUACUGGCAAACUAAUACAGGAGAGUAACCUUACAGGUAUAAUGGUGUGGCAAGACCUUUGAUCAAAAUUCAGCCCUUGUUAUUGAUAAGGCAGUUAUACUGGAGAGAAACCUUACAAGUGUAAUGAAUGUGGCAAGGUUAUUAACAGUCAAACCUUGCAUGUCAUUAUAGAUGUCAUACUAGUGAGAAACCUUACAAGUGAAAUAAAUACGGCAAGGUUUUUAAACAAAAAUCAAACCUUGUAUGUCAUCAUAGACUUCAUACUAGAGAGAAGUCUUUUCCUACUAGAGAGGUUUUGUUUAUUUUUUAAAAAAUCUUUUAGGUGGAGUCUUGCUCAUACUGCCCAGGCUGGGGUGCUGUGGCACGAUCUCGGCUCACUGCAACCUCCAC